GACGAGCCUCACGAACGUUAUUCGGAAUUACUGGGCUUAAAGCGCGUGUAGGCGGCUUGGUAAGUCUGCUCUGAAAGCCCGGGGCUCAACCCCGGGAGGCGGGUGGAUACUGUCAAGCUCGAGUCCGGAAGAGGAGUGUGGAAUUCCUGGUGUAGCGGUGAAAUGCGCAGAUAUCAGGAGGAACACCAAUGGCGAAGGCAGCACUCUGGGACGUGACUGACGCUGAGACGCGAAAGCGUGGGGAGCAAACAGG
rnacentral:rRNA from 1 species